rnacentral:rRNA from 5 species
CAACUUUCAACAACGGAUCUCUUGGCUCUCGCAUCGAUGAAGAACGCAGCGAAAUGCGAUAAGUAAUGUGAAUUGCAGAAUUCAGUGAAUCAUCGAAUCUUUGAACGCACCUUGCGCCCUUUGGUAUUCCGAAGGGCACACCUGUUUGAGUGUCGUGAAAUUC